CAACUGUAGAUGCUUCCAUAAACAAAACAGCAGCACCUACUACGUCAAUCUCAACUGCAGGUCCUACUACCAAUUUAACUCCAACGACAACCUCAACUGAAGCUCCAACAGACAUCACAACUAUCGCUCCUAUGCACCCCACAAUUGCAACUUCAAAUGUAGCAUCACCUACAACAACAACUGCAGAUGCUUCCACAACCAUAAGUGCAGCACCUACUACCUCAAUCCCAACUGCAGGUCCUACUACCAUUUUGACUCCUAAGACAAUCACAACUGAAGCUCCUACAGAAAUCACAACUGUAGCUCUUAUGACCCCCACAAUUGCAGCUUCUACUUUACCAACUGUUGCUCCCACGACCACAACUGCAGCAGCUCCUAUAACAACAACUGUAGAUGCUUCCAGAAACACAACAUCAGCACCUACUACGUCAAUCACAACUGCAGGACCUACUAACAUUUUAACUCCAAUGACAAGCACAACUGAGGCUCCUUCAGACGUCACUACUGUUGCUCCUUUGAACCCCACAAUUGCAGCUUCUUCUUCAACAACUGUAGCUCCCACGAUCACUACAACUGCAGAAGCUCCUACGACAACAACUGUAGCUGCUUCUACAUUUACUACUGCAUCCCCUACUGCAACCACAACAGAAGCUCCUUCUACAACAACUGUAGCACCAAUGACUUUAGGAACAACAGUCCCAACGACAACUGCAGCUAAUUCCUCAACUUUAGCUCCUUCAAUGCCAAUCCCAACUGCAGCUCCUAUAACAACAACUCUUGCUCCUACAACCUCUACAACUUCCGCACCCACUAGUUUAUUCACAACUGCAGGUCCUACUACCAUUUUACCUCCUUCGACAACCACUACAACAUCCACUACAACAACUGUAGCUCCUACAAUGUCAAUCUCAGCUGCAGGUCCUACUACCAAUUUAACUCCAACGACAACCUCAACUGAAGCUCCAACAGACAUCACAACUGUCGCUCCUAUGCACCCCACAAUUGCAACUUCAAAUGUAGCAUCACCUACAACAACAACUGCAGAUGCUUCCACAACCACAAGUGCAGCACCUACUACCUCAAUCCCAACUGCAGGUCCUACUACCAUUUUGACUCCUAAGACAAUCACAACUGAAGCUCCUACAGAAAUCACAACUGUAGCUCUUAUGACCCCCACAAUUGCAGCUUCUACUUUACCAACUGUUGCUCCCACGACCACAACUGCAGCAGCUCCUAUAACAACAACUGUAGAUGCUUCCAAAAACACAACAUCAGCACCUACUACGUCAAUCACAACUGCAGGUCCUACUAACAUUUUAACUCCAAUGAUAAGCACAACUGAGGCUCCUUCAGACUCCACUACUGUUGCUCCUUUGAACCCCACAAUUGCAGCUUCUUCUUCAACAACUGUAGCUCCCACGAUCACUACAACUGCAGAAGCUCCUACGACAACAACUGUAGCUGCUUCUACAUUUACUACUGCAUCCCCUACUGCAACCACAACAGAAGCUCCUUCUACAACAACUGUAGCACCAAUGACUUUAGGAACAACAGUCCCAACGACAACUGCAGCUAAUUCCUCAACUUUAGCUCCUUCAAUGCCAAUCCCAACUGCAGCUCCUAUAACAACAACUCUUGCUCCUACAACCUCUACAACUUCCGCACCCACUAGUUUAUUCACAACUGCAGGUCCUACUACCAUUUUACCUCCUUCAACAACCACUACAACAUCCACUACAACAACUGUAGCUCCUACAAUGUCAAUCUCAGCUGCAGGUCCUACUACCAAUUUAACUCCAACGACAACCUCAACUGAAGCUCCAACAGACAUCACAACUGUAGCACCUAUGCACCCCACAAUUGCAACUUUAACUGUAGCAUCACCUACAACAACAACUGCAGAUGCUUCCACAACCAGAGGUGCAGCACCUACUACCUCAAUCCCAACUGCAGGUCCUACUACCAUUUUGACUCCUAAGACAAUCACAACUGAAGCUCCUACAGAAAUCACAACUGUAGCUCUUAUGCCCCCCACAAUUGCAACUUCAAUUACAACUGUAGCAUCGCCUACAACAACAACUACAGAUGCUUCCACAACCACAAGUGCAGCACCUACUACAUCAAUCCCAACUGCAGGUCCUACUACCAUUUUGACUCCUAAGACAAUCACAACUGAAGCUCCUACAGAAAUCACAACUGUAGCUCUUAUGCCCCCCACAACUUCUACUUCAACAACUGUUGCUCCCACGACCACAACUGCAGCAGCUCCUAUAACAACAACUGUAGAUGCUUCCAGAAACACAACAUCAGCACCUACUACGUCAAUCACAACUGCAGGUCCUACUAACAUUUUGACUCCAAUGACAAGCACAACUGAGGCUCCUUCAGACGUCACUACUGUUGCUCCUUUGAACCCCACAAUUGCAGCUUCUUCUUCAACAACUGUAGCUCCCACGAUCACUACAACUGCAGAAGCUCCUACGACAACAACUGUAGCUGCUUCUACAUUUACUACUGCAUCCCCUACUGCAACCACAACAGACGCUCCUUCUACAACAACUGUAGCAUCAAUGACUUUAGGAACAACAGUCCCAACGACAACUGCAGCUAAUUCCUCAACUUUAGCUCCUUCAAUGCCAAUCCCAACUGCAGCUCCUAUAACAACAACUCUUGCUCCUACAACCUCUACAACUUCAGCACCCACUAGUUUAUUCACAACUGCAGGUCCUACUACCAUUUUACCUCCUUCGACAACCACUACAACAACUGUAGCUCCUACAAUGUCAAUCUCAACUGCAGGUCCUACUACCAAUUUAACUCCAACGACAACCACAACUGAAGCUCUUACAGACAUCACAACUGUAGCUCCUAUGCCACCCACAAUUGCAACUUCAACUGUAGCAUCACCUACAACAACAACUACAGAUGCUUCCACAACCACAGGUGCAGCACCUACUACAUCAAUCACAACUGAAGCUCCUACAGAAAUCACAACUGUAGCUCUUAUGCCCCCCACAAUUGCAACUUCAACUACAACUGUAGCAUCACCUACAACAACAACUACAGAUGCUUCCACAACCACAAGUGCAGCACCUACUACAUCAAUCACAACUGCAGGUCCUACUACCAUUUUGACUCCUAAGACCAUUACAACUGCAGCUCUUAUGACCCCCACAAUUGCAGCUUCUACUUCAACAACUGUUGCUCCCACGACCACAACUGCAGCAGCUCCUAUAACAACAAUUGUAGCUGCUUCCACAAACAAAACAGCAGCACCUACUACGUCAAUCACAACUGCAGGUCCUACUAACAUUUUACCUCCUUCGACAACCACAACUGUAUCACCUAUGACAACCUCAACAACUGUAGCUCCUACAAUGUCAAUCUCAACUGCAGGUCCUACUACCAUUUUACCUCCUACGACAACCACAACUGUAUCACCUAUGACAACCUCAACAACUGUAGCUCCUACAACACCAAUCACAACUGCAGGUCCUAAAACCAUAUUAACGACAACCGCCACUGCAACUUCUACUACAACUACAAAUGCAGGUCCUUCAACCACCACAACUGCAGCGCCUAUUACAACUAGAACAGCAGCUCCUACAAGUUCAACCACAAUUGCACUUCCUACCUCGACAACCACAACGGCAACAUUUACCUCAACUUCUACGGCUUCAGUGGCAUCAACUAGAUUUGGCACAGUGGUGGUUUUUGUAAGACUAGAGUUCCAGCUCAACACUGCAGUCCCCAGUAAGGAUGUCGUCCUUGGUGCCGUCGACAAGAAACUGUCUACACAAUUCAGGACCUUCAAAAUUCAAAGAAACACUCAAGCCACCCUCCAGAAUGCAACUUAUAUCAAACUUUCAGAUACUUCAUUUGCUGUUGAUCUUGGUUUCAAAAUAACCAAUGUAUCUAUGGAGGAGAGACUGCUUCAAAGUGCUAGAGCCACUUUCACCGAUGAUACCUACAGCCAGAUACAGGAUUCAAUUAACAGCCUACUGCAUGAUAUUCUCAGUGAACCAAAAGGCAAACAAUUUGACUUUCCCAAAGCCAAAUUUAGUGUUGUUGGCAAUCAAAUCAGGGCAAACGUGACGUAUGUAUACAAAGAGAAAGACGUCAACCUCCCUAGUGCCUUUCUAGGGGAUGUUUUAAAAGUCUCAGGUCUCCUAACAACCACUGUUGCACCAACAACAACUACCAGCACCUCACCACCUACUACCCCUUUGCUGACCACUCCUUUCAGUAUAAGUGACAGAGGUUUUCCUGGCUGGGCUCUGGCCAUUAUCAUCCCCUGUGGCAUCGCUAUCAUUCUGGUACCCCUGUGGAUCCUGCUAUGUUGCAUGCUAUGUGGCGGCUGUGCAGCUUUAAGGAGACGCUGGCAACAACACAGAGCUUACAACGUACAGUACACCACAAGAAACGGCAUCUUCUGAGGUGACAAGACUAUCAAAAUAACAGCUAAUCAUCUAUAUCUGCUCAUCAUCACAACAAAUAAUAUAUUUUUCAUGUAAUCCAUACACCAUUACUUUUGAGAAGAUCAAACACGGACUUGCUUUUAUUUUUAUAACAAAAUUGCAUUGUUCUUGAAAGGGUUAAUAGGUCAUGUGUUUCCCCAAUGUACUACUUUUUAAUAUUAUACAGUAUUUCUCAUUUUAGUCAAAGCUACAGCUGAGCUGGUAUAUUAUGCAUUUAUGUAAUUUAAUCAUUUAUAUACACAAAAAUAUUAUUUUUGAUUUUUGUCAUUUCCCCUGCUGAUUUAAGCUAUUAACUCACUAUAUUUGAAAGUCUGCAAUACAGCACUUGUUUCUUUAUCAUACAAUUUAACACAUGUAAUAAAAGCCUUUCAAAUCAACAUUAACUGGAUAAAUAAUGUCUGCAGAAAUCCUCUUAGAAUUAUUUAAACAUGCUAUAACGCAACAAUUG
ensembl:lncRNA